rnacentral:lncRNA from 1 species
UUUUUUUGGUAGCACAGUGAGUGGAGUUUAUUUUUAUAAUUUGUAGAAAAUUGACAUUUAGAUUUCAAAACUUAUAUUACAAAAUUAUCAGCAGCAGUCUUAAGCAUUUCAACCGACGGCCUAUUAUUAUACAUCUGCCUCACUGCUCAGGACCCGUUUGUGACUGUGUCUUCUUCCAUCUCUUCUUCACCAUCAUCAGUGGGCCCCAAUCUGCGUUCUCUGCCAGGGAUCUGACCAGACUGCAGCAACCCCUUCAGCCUCUCCACUUCAGCCAGAGUUGAAGCAUUUGCUAUAGCAUUCUUGAUUGCUUCUACAUCCCCUGGAGAUGGCCCACCUUUCUUUUUGUCAGUUGGCAAACCAGCACCUGGAUUAAAAUUUCACUUUCGCGGAACUUUAUAAAUCACAUACAAUCUGUAAUGCUUCUUAUUGGUUACUGGAUUUCUUAGGAUACUUAGGUAAGUCAGCGAUUUGAGAGAUGCCAGAGGGUCCAGAUCACCCAGUUCCACGAGC